AGGGGAGUGACGCCGAGAGGCCUAAGGCACCUGGUUCUGACCCAGGAAUUCGCAGGUUCGAAUCCUGCCUCCCCCGCCA
rnacentral:tRNA from 1 species